rnacentral:lncRNA from 1 species
CCAUCUUCAACCUUCUUCUUGCCAUUGAUAUUCUUUGGAGGGGAGAUUAGAGCCGUUUGAAGGGAUUUGUGAAAUCUUUCGGGAUUUCAAGGAUCUUUAGGACUUUCUUUAUUUCUUGCUAUUUCAUUUUAUUUCUUUAUUUCUACUUGUGCUGAAUCAUUAUCUAAUCUAUUUUCUGUUCUUAUUGUGUUUUCAGCCUUUUUCUAUCUUAAGGAAUCAGCCCAAAAAAAUCCCCAAUUUCUAGGGUUUUUUUAUACUCUUUUUGGGUGAAAUUAGAUUGUCGAAAUUUGGGGAAAACUAUCUUGGUGUUCAAUUGGGCAGAAUCACAAUCUCCUUGAGGGUUUCAAGAACCCUAACACUUAUUUCUAUUCUCUAUUUGAUUCUUUACUGUUUUGGGGAUUUUAUUUCAGAUCUGAAAAUUCAAAAAUCUAAUCUUUUAAUUUUCUGUUUCGUUUCAGAUCUAAUUGUUUAGGGUUUUCGUAGGAGUUUCUCGUGACUUGGCAACUCGAUCUUGGUCCGCGCGCAUCCCCGUAUCAUUUGGUAUCAGAUUUUGGGCGUUUUGGGUGUUCUUGGUUGAUUUCUAAACUGAUCUUUAUUUUUUAAAGCAUAAACAGCAGUUUUACCCAGAAAAAUUAUUCAAAAAAAAAUUCAUUUGAGUGGGUAAACGUUGUCCUAUUGAUCUGAAAUUUUAUAUACAUGUUUUUGGCACUGUGAUUGAAUAUAAAAAAAUUAUUCCCGCAAAAAAAUCAGUCAAAAAAGUCAAAGUAAUAAAAAAAGACGAAAUUCAAUAAAAAUUUAAAAAAAGAUUCAGCGGGUUGAAUUUGGUGCCCAAAAUUUCCAGAUCAAAAAUUCAAUAUGUAAGGACACUCCAGAUUUAAUUUCGUGAUUUUUGGAGAUCGGGAACACCUCGAACGAAGUUGUCAAGUUACUCCGCAGUUUUUCGGGUUUUCUGUUUUCAGCAAUUUUUAUUGAUUCUUAGCUGUAGGUUUUCAUUUGUUUACCUUUAUUCUUCCUUUACGUUAUCUAACACCUUCUUGUUUCUUGUGUUAGUAGGAUUUAAACGUGUGCACAACUUCUUCCUCGGUGCAACACGAAUCAAUUGGUGUCUCGUCAGUUUUUGGCAUCCUAGUGCAAAUUAGGAUUCUUUGGUAGUUUGGUUCACACUCUCUAAUUGGUUGAUAUAAACUCUGAUAAAGAACUCACAAGAUUGAAUUCGACC